rnacentral:rRNA from 1 species
AUGGGGUGACGCAGUAGGGUAGUGACGCGGACUGAUGGAUGUCCGUCUAAGCAGUGAGGCUGAUGUGUAGGCAAAUCCGCACAUCGUAAGGCUGGGCUGUGAUGGGGAGCGAAAAUUAUAGUAGCGAAGGUCAUGAUCUCAGACUGCCAAGAAAAGCCUCUAGCCAGGAGAAGGUGCCCGUACCGCAAACCGACACAGGUAGGCGAGAAGAGAAUUCUAAGGCGCGCGGAAGAACUCUCGUUAAGGAACUCGGCAAAAUGACCCCGUAACUUCGGGAGAAGGGGUGCCUCGGUAGGGUGAAUAGCCCGAGGGGGCCGCAGUGAAAAGGCCCAAGCGACUGUUUAGCAAAAACACAGGUCUGUGCGAAGCCGCAAGGCGAAGUAUACGGGCUGACGCCUGCCCGGUGCUGGAAGGUUAAGGGGAGUGGUAAGCCUUCGGGCGAAGCUAUGAACCGAAGCCCCAGUAAACGGCGGCCGUAACUAUAACGGUCCUAAGGUAGCGAAAUUCCUUGUCAGGUAAAUUCUGACCCGCACGAAUGGCGUAACGACUUGGGCGCUGUCUCAACGAGAGAUCCGGUGAAAUUUUAAUACCUGUGAAGAUGCAGGUUACCCGCGACAAGACGGAAAGACCCCAUGGAGCUUUACUGCAGCUUGAUAUUGAAUUUGGGUACGAUCUGUACAGGAUAGGUGGGAGCCGUUGAAUCUUGAGCGCCAGCUUGAGAGGAGGCAUCCUUGGGAUACCACCCUGAUCGUAUCUAGGUUCUAACUUGGUACCGUGAUCCGGU